rnacentral:rRNA from 1 species
UACGAAGGGUGCAAGCGUUAAUCGGAAUUACUGGGCGUAAAGCGUGCGUAGGCGGUUAUUUAAGUCUGUUGUGAAAUCCCCCGGGCUCAACCUGGGAAUGGCAAUGGAUACUGGAUAGCUAGAGUGUGAUAGAGGAUGGUGGAAUUCCCGGUGUAGCGGUGAAAUGCGUAGAGAUCGGGAGGAACAUCAGUGGCGAAGGCGGCCAUCUGGAUCAACACUGACGCUGAGGCACGAAAGCGUGGGGAGCAAACAGG